rnacentral:rRNA from 1 species
AGGCCCUGCUUUUGUGGGGUGCUCGAGUGGCGAACGGGUGAGUAACACGUGAGUAACCUGCCCUUGACUUUGGGAUAACUUCAGGAAACUGGGGCUAAUACCGGAUAGGAGCUCCUGCUGCAUGGUGGGGGUUGGAAAGUUUCGGCGGUUGGGGAUGGACUCGCGGCUUAUCAGCUUGUUGGUGGGGUAGUGGCUUACCAAGGCUUUGACGGGUAGCCGGCCUGAGAGGGUGACCGGCCACAUUGGGACUGAGAUACGGCCCAGACUCCUACGGGAGGCAGCAGUGGGGAAUAUUGCACAAUGGGCGGAAGCCUGAUGCAGCAACGCCGCGUGCGGGAUGACGGCCUUCGGGUUGUAAACCGCUUUCGCCUGUGACGAAGCGUGAGUGACGGUAAUGGGUAAAGAAGCACCGGCUAACUACGUGCCAGCAGCCGCGGUGAUACGUAGGGUGCGAGCGUUGUCCGGAUUUAUUGGGCGUAAAGGGCUCGUAGGUGGUUGAUCGCGUCGGAAGUGUAAUCUUGGGGCUUAACCCUGAGCGUGCUUUCGAUACGGGUUGACUUGAGGAAGGUAGGGGAGAAUGGAAUUCCUGGUGGAGCGGUGGAAUGCGCAGAUAUCAGGAGGAACACCAGUGGCGAA